GCUUCCCUUUUCCUGUGUUUGACUGAUUGACAGCUUAUGGGCAGAACCAUCAAUUAAUUUGAGCAGCUGAGAAGGAGCAAGAAAAAUAUCACCAAGUGGAAGUCAGAGCACUGACUCCUGAUGCCCUUCAGCUGUGCUGCUAAGGAAGCUGCAUAUCUUGCCAGAAGAUUGCUGAGGUUCAAAGUCUGCAAGUCACCUUCUGAAGUGUGUCUGUGUGCGUGCACGCAUGUGAUGGGAGCAAAAGGUGUGGAAUGGGAAGAAUAAAACAAAAU